CCACGGUCACAUGACUUCACCACCAAACUUCCAACUUGUAAUUAAAUAGCUCAGGGUUAAAGGUUCUAGGUCAGGUCUAAAGGUUCUAGGUCAGGUCUAAAGGUUCUAGCUCAGGUCUAAAGGUUCUAGCUCAGGGUUAAAGGUUCUAGCUCAGGUCUAAAGGUUCUAGCUCAGGUCUAAAGGUUCUAGCUCAGGUCUAAAGGUUCUAGCUCAGGGUUAAAGGUUCUAGCUCAGGUCUAAAGGUUCUAGCUCAGGGUUAAAGGUUCUAGCUCAGGUCUAAAGGUUCUAGCUCAGGGUUAAAGGUUCUAGCUCAGGUCUAAAGGUUCUAGCUCAGGUCUAAAGGUUCUAGCUCAGGUCUAAAGGUUCUAGCUCAGGGUUAAAGGUUCUAGCUCAGGGUUAAAGGUUCUAGCUCAGGUCUAAAGGUUCUAGCUCAGGUCUAAAGGUUCUAGCUCAGGUCUGACAGUCUCU